UACGUAGGGUGCAAGCGUUGUCCGGAAUCAUUGGGCGUAAAGCGCGUGUAGGCGGCUCGGUAAGUCCGCUCUGAAAGUCCAGGGCUCAACCCUGGGAUGCGGGUGGAUACUGCCGGGCUCGAGUCCGGAAGAGGCGAGUGGAAUUCCCGGUGUAGCGGUGAAAUGCGCAGAUAUCGGGAGGAACACCAAUGGCGAAGGCAGCUCGCUGGGACGUGACUGACGCUGAGACGCGAAAGCGUGGGGAGCAACAGG
rnacentral:rRNA from 1 species